rnacentral:rRNA from 1 species
GGGUUGUGAGGUUAAGCGACUAAGCGUACACGGUGGAUGCCCUGGCAGUCAGAGGCGAUGAAGGACGUGCUAAUCUGCGAAAAGCGUCGGUAAGGUGAUAUGAACCGUUAUAACCGGCGAUGUCCGAAUGGGGAAACCCAGUGUGUUUCGACACACUAUCAUUAACUGAAUCCAUAGGUUAAUGAGGCGAACCGGGGGAACUGAAACAUCUAAGUACCCCGAGGAAAAGAAAUCAACCGAGAUUCCCCCAGUAGCGGCGAGCGAACGGGGAGGAGCCCAGAGCCUGAAUCAGUGUGUGUGUUAGUGGAAGCGUCUGGAAAGGCGCGCGAUACAGGGUGACAGCCCCGUACACAAAAAUGCACAUGCUGUGAGCUCGAUGAGUAGGGCGGGACACGUGGUAUCCUGUCUGAAUAUGGGGGGACCAUCCUCCAAGGCUAAAUACUCCUGACUGACCGAUAGUGAACCAGUACCGUGAGGGAAAGGCGAAAAGAACCCCGGCGAGGGGAGUGAAAAAGAACCUGAAACCGUGUACGUACAAGCAGUGGGAGCCCUGAUUUAUCAGGGUGACUGCGUACCUUUUGUAUAAUGGGUCAGCGACUUAUAUUCUGUAGCAAGGUUAACCGAAUAGGGGAGCCGGAGGGAAACCGAGUCUUAACUGGGCGUUAAGUUGCAGGGUAUAGACCCGAAACCCGGUGAUCUAGCCAUGGGCAGGUUGAAGGUUGGGUAACACUAACUGGAGGACCGAACCGACUAAUGUUGAAAAAUUAGCGGAUGACUUGUGGCUGGGGGUGAAAGGCCAAUCAAACCGGGAGAUAGCUGGUUCUCCCCGAAAGCUAUUUAGGUAGCGCCUCGUGAAUUCAUCUCCGGGGGUAGAGCACUGUUUCGGCAAGGGGGUCAUCCCGACUUACCAACCCGAUGCAAACUGCGAAUACCGGAGAAUGUUAUCACGGGAGACACACGGCGGGUGCUAACGUCCGUCGUGAAGAGGGAAACAACCCAGACCGCCAGCUAAGGUCCCAAAGUCAUGGUUAAGUGGGAAACGAUGUGGGAAGGCCCAGACAGCCAGGAUGUUGGCUUAGAAGCAGCCAUCAUUUAAAGAAAGCGUAAUAGCUCACUGGUCGAGUCGGCCUGCGCGGAAGAUGUAACGGGGCUAAACCAUGCACCGAAGCUGCGGCAGCGACACUGUGUGUUGUUGGGUAGGGGAGCGUUCUGUAAGCCUGCGAAGGUGUGCUGUGAGGUAUGCUGGAGGUAUCAGAAGUGCGAAUGCUGACAUAAGUAACGAUAAAGCGGGUGAAAAGCCCGCUCGCCGGAAGACCAAGGGUUCCUGUCCAACGUUAAUCGGGGCAGGGUGAGUCGACCCCUAAGGCGAGGCCGAAAGGCGUAGUCGAUGGGAAACAGGUUAAUAUUCCUGUACUUGGUGUUACUGCGAAGGGGGGACGGAGAAGGCUAUGUUGGCCGGGCGACGGUUGUCCCGGUUUAAGCGUGUAGGCUGGUUUUCCAGGCAAAUCCGGAAAAUCAAGGCUGAGGCGUGAUGACGAGGCACUACGGUGCUGAAGCGACAAAUGCCCUGCUUCCAGGAAAAGCCUCUAAGCAUCAGGUAACAUCAAAUCGUACCCCAAACCGACACAGGUGGUCAGGUAGAGAAUACCAAGGCGCUUGAGAGAACUCGGGUGAAGGAACUAGGCAAAAUGGUGCCGUAACUUCGGGAGAAGGCACGCUGAUAUGUAGGUGAAGCGACUUGCUCGUGG